rnacentral:rRNA from 1 species
CAUGAAGUUGGAAUUGCUAGUAAUGGCAGGUCAGCAUACUGCCGUGAAUACGUUCCCGGGCCUUGUACACACCGCCCGUCACACCAUGAGAGUUGGAAAUACCCGAAGCCUGUGAGCUAACUUAAAGAGGCAGCAGUCGAAGGUAGAGCCAAUGAUUGGGGUGAAGUCGUAACAAGGUACC